GUGUUUUUAUCUUCAGCUACUUAUGGUUAUGCGCACCUUGGCCUCUUACCCGCUGUAAAACUCUUGUUUCUUUGAUGAAAUGGAACAGGGUGGUGUGGUCCAUGCAGCUCCUAUAUUUUGAGAAAUAAAAUCUUAUGCUUAUAUUGUAAAUGGAAAACUUUUAUAAUCCGCCGAAUGAUUUAUGAUACUAAAAUUACUGUAUAUAGAAGAAAUUAUCUCAGUGGAAACAACGAUUAUACUAAGAAGACCACCUGUACAGACACAUCGGUUGGUGAAUAGUGCACCGAUUUUAUAAACAAUUAUUUGGAGGAGAUAGAAAGUGAACUAAAUCAUUACACGGAAUACCUAAACGUAUUGGAAAUAUUGUACUGGUACUUGCUAUAUGGUUAACAAAAUAGUCCACGGGAUUAACUUGGAAACAAAUAUAUAGUUCUUCACCAGCCGCCUUGUUUGUGCGCCACGUGCUUCUGUGGGGUCCUCACACCGCCCUCCCUUUCUCUUAUCUCCAGCCAAGAAACAGACAGCCACAUAUUCCCCCAAGCCCCUCCUCCCUUCCUCUGUCUCUCCCUCCCUCAAGCCCCUCUUACCUCCCCGAUCUGCUAGCGAUGCAUCCAAAUCGAUGACCUCUAUGCGCGUCCUAAGAGAAAGUGAGGCAGAGGGAGCGGCCCAUGGCUGGAUUAAGCUGCUGCGAAGCUCAGUGCCUCUGCUGCGAGCUUGCAGAGAUGAGAGUAUGGGCAUCAGCUGACGACGGGGAUACUGUGGGCGUCGGCGGCCGGGGCUACAAUGGAGCCCGGCACCACGGCACCCGGAGCUGCAAUGGAGCUCUGCCUGGGCUGCGAUGGAGCCCGGCACCACGGCGGCCGGAGCUGCAAUGGAGCUCCGUCAGGGCUGCAAUGAAGAGCGGGCGCUACUGCCGGCGGCGUGGCAAGUUGAGGACGGCGACGCUCGCCACCGGUGCUGCAAUGAAGCGAGCAUUGAUGCCGACGGCAUUGCAAUGGAGCAGGUGCUGCUGCGGGCGGCGCGGCAAGUCGAGGAAGGCGACACUCGCCACCAGUGAUGCAAUGAAGUGAGCGUUGCUGCCAACGACGCGGCAAGCCGAGGACGGGGCGCCGCAAUGAAGCGUCAAUGGAGCCACUGACGACGGCGCUGCUGCAUGGCAAGGGAUGCAAUACUAUGGCAGUGCUGCCGCCUCGAUGAUGUUGUGCUUGUCUGGGUCGCAACAUCGCCGCUGCUGCGAUAUCGUCGGCGCUGGCUCCGUUGCCACGUUGAGGACCUGCUGUAGUCACCUUGGUCACGCGGAGUUGUAGUCGUGUUUGCUGCUUUGCGUUGCUUGUGCUGGUAGUGGUGGAUGAUGUCAUAGCAGCCGCCAUUGUAAAUUGGUGCUACCGCAUCAGCGAGUGGCGUUCCCUGAUCCUUGCAUGCAGAACCAGUUUAGAUGGGAGUUCUAACGACGCAUUAUACAAGGAGCUAUGACAUGCUUGAGCUAGGCUGUUGAUCACGGUGCCUUGCCAAGGUGAAAGAAUUUACUACUUUCCAGAUGGUUAUAUGGAACAGGUAUGUCUCACCGCAUUGAUGUUUGCUCUUCUUGAUGCCCCAUAACUAAUGAAUGAAUUUUGCUACUCAACACAAACAAUAGCAAUUUGUGCUAGGGGGCACUGCUUGAUCUUGUGUUAAAUAAUAAUCAUCCAGGUAUUUAAAGAUCGUCCACAUACACAUUUAGAAUCUGUUAGGGUCCUUGUGUGUGUGAGGCGUGUGCUUCUCUAGUAUGGUCAUGUAUUAGUUGAAAAAUGAGUAUCCAUGAGAGGGCACCACUUUACAUUCAGUGCUUCCAGCCUUGUAGGCCUCACCAUAAGUCCCUUUGCCAAGCUUCACUGUGAUGCCUAACUAACUAUUUCACAAACAUUUUUUUAGCUAAUAAAAGCAACAGUGAAGGUAAAUAAACUCAUUUUCACAUGUCAUGACAAACUGAUUUCUUCCGGCCGCCCUAAAAACAUAGUACUAAUACACCGAGAGACUGUACAAUUGAUCAAGCUACUUUACAAAUUAAUUUAGGAAUAGACUAAACAUAUCAGGAUAUACACCAGUUGACUACGAAGAAAAGAAUUCAUCAUCUAUUAAUACGCUACUAAAUGAAUACAUCCAUUCACAUCUUCAAAAUUGUAUUAUACAUGU